UGGGGAAUAUUGCACAAUGGGCGCAAGCCUGAUGCAGCCAUGCCGCGUGUAUGAAGAAGGCCUUCGGGUUGUAAAGUACUUUCAGUCGGGAGGAAGGUGGUAAGGUUAAUAACCUUGGCAAUUGACGUUACCGACAGAAGAAGCACCGGCUAACUCCGUGCCAGCAGCCGCGGUAAUACGGAGGGUGCAAGCGUUAAUCGGAAUUACUGGGCGUAAAGCGCACGCAGGCGGUUGAUUGAGUCAGAUGUGAAAUUCCCGGGCUUAACCCGGGAAUUGCAUCUGAUACUGGUCAGCUAGAGUCUUGUAGAGGGGGGUAGAAUUCCAUGUGUAGCGGUGAAAUGCGUAGAGAUGUGGAGGAAUACCGGUGGCGAAGGCGGCCCCCUGGACAAAGACUGACGCUCAGGUGCGAAAGCGUGGGGAGCAAACAGG
rnacentral:rRNA from 1 species